UUCUUCCUUCCACUCUCGGUAAUUUCUAGGUUCUCUGUGCCCAUUUAAGGGAGAAUUCUAAGGGAUGGGAGUAAACUAAAUGUAGCCUCUGUAAUUUGGGGCAGGUUCAGAAACAUUUCCUCUUCACUGUAAGUGCAUCUGAUAACAAUAUUUUCCAUACUGAUGUACAGCAAAUCUUUCAAAUGCAGUCAUUUCAUGGUUAGCCUAAAUUUAGGCAAACACAAUUUCUGAAUACUAAGAAAAAGAAAAACAAAUGCCAUAAUAAGCCUUCUUGCACAAAGAUCUAAAAAUAGUGUAUUCCUUCUCCCAGCUCCACACACAAAGGAAAUGCUCUUGGACAUCAGAAGCUGGGUUGAUCGCAGCACCACCAAGUGCAGAGGCCAGCUUCCUCCCAACGUCUUCACCAUGUCACCAAAUGGCAUCACCAUCUGCCUACCCAGCUGCUCAAGUCAAAAGCCUAGAAGUUGUUCUGGACACUUUCAUUCUCCUCUUCUUCACAGGUUACUGUCUGCCAGGCUACCAGGCCCCAACCUUCUCCAAGUUUGUGUCCACCACAUAAAAUGACUAUUAGAACUUCAGAUGAAGAAUUUGGUCCCCAAAAUGGCCUUGUGCUAGUUUUUUUUUCCCUGCACAGAAACACCAGGAAAAUGUCAGAAGGCAAAUCCAAACCCACACCCUGGAAGACUUAAAACCUAACAAUCACAUCCUUGGGAGGAUGAGUAAUCCAGCCCAGUUUAAUUUAAAAAGGAAACACGGCAGAUGCCAGAGGAGGCCUGGAUGCGCCUUGAAGGAAAGGAGGAGCGUGAGAGGGAGGACGGAAGGUAACGGAUCACGCGGC